UUAGGUCGACCCGCUGAAUUUAAGCAUAUCAUUAAGCGGAGGAAAAGAAACUAACAAGGAUUCCCCUAGUAGCGGCGAGCGAAGAGGGAAAAGCCCAGAACCGAAUCCUGCAAAUUUAUUUGCUAGGAAAUGUGGUGUUUGGUUCAAUUCGUACGACUUACUGAUCUAGUACUAAGUCCACGUGAUUGUGGCAUUAAGCCCACAGAGGGUGUAAGGCCCGUAAGUACUAGUCGGUUUGUCCAUGAGUUGUUCCUAGAGUCGGGUUGCUUGGGAAUGCAGCCCAAAUUGGGUGGUAAACUCCAUCCAAGGCUAAAUACAACACGAGUCCGAUAGCAAACAAGUACCAUGAGGGAAAGUUGAAAAGAACUUUGAAGAGAGAGUUCAAUAGUGCGUGAAACCGCUCAGUGGUAAGCAGGCAGAGCUGAAGAGAGAUUUUCGUAUUGAAAUUUCGUUUGCUUUGCUUUAGGUUUGUAUGAUCAUUAAGACAUCUGGCUUAAAGUUUAAGUAAAUGUUGUUUUUUUGCGUUAAUCUGACACUACGGCCGGUAACAAGAAAGGCUUAGCGUUUGUUAAAGGUAGCUCUAAACUUGUUUAGAGUGUUAUAGUAACAAGUCAUAACGCCUUUCGAAUACCGUUUUGCAAAUUGUCGUUACUUGUCAUAUGGCUUGCUUAGUUGAAGGAAAACGUGGUACAUCAUUAAAAGAUGUGCCAUGUUUUUUAACUUCAUGGUAAGUCCUCUAUGAAAAGUAAAACAGUUGUAGUGGAAUUGUAGGCAUCUGCCUGACCCGUCUUGAAACACGGACCAAGGAGUUUAGCUCAUGCGCAAGUCAUUGGGUCUUACGAAACCUAAAGGCGUAGUGAAGGUAAAGGCUUGACUUAAUCAAGCUGAGGUAGGAUCUCAAUUGUAAUGUGUGUAAACACAUAUAUUGAGCGCACUACCAGCUCGUCUCAUACUUUUUAAGUGAGGCGAAGCAAGAGCGUAUGGGCUGAGACCCGAAAGAUGGUGAACUAUGCUUGUGUAGGUUGAAGCCAGAGGAAACUCUGGUGGAGGACCGUAGCGAUUCUGACGUGCAAAUCGAUCGUCAAACAUGAGUAUAGGGGCGAAAGACUAAUCGAACCAUCUAGUAGCUGGUUCCCUUCGAAGUUUCCCUCAGGAUAGCUGGCACUCGGGAAUCAAACAGUUUUAUCCGGUAAAGCGAAUGAUUAGCAGUAUUGGGGAUGAAAUAUCCUCAACUGAUUCUCAAACUUUAAAUGGGUGAGAAGCUCUACUCUCUUAAAUAUGGAGUUGAGCAUUGAAUGUGAGUGCCUAGUGGGCCAUUUUUGGUAAGCAGAACUGGCGCUGUGGGAUGAACCAAACGUCUGGUUACGGAGCCAAACAUAACGCUCAUGAGAAACCACAAAAGGUGUUGGUUGAUUUUGACAGCAGGACGGUGGCCAUGGAAGUCGGAAUCCGCUAAGGAGUGUGUAACAACUCACCUGCCGAAUCAACCAGCCCUGAAAAUGGAUGGCGCUCGAGCGUUGGUCCUAUACCAGACCGUUACCGCAAAUUGCAAUGUAUGCGGUAACGAGUAGAAGGGCGCCGUGGUAAGCAUUGAAGCUUCGGUCGUGAGACUGGGUGGAGCUGCCACGGGUGCAGAUCUUGGUGGUAGUAGCAAAUAUUCAAGUGAGAACCUUGAAGACUGAUGUGGAGAAGGGUUCCUGGUGAACAGC
rnacentral:rRNA from 1 species